UGGGGAAUAUUGCACAAUGGGGGGAACCCUGAUGCAGCGAUGCCGCGUGGAGGAAGAAGGUUUUCGGAUUGUAAACUCCUUUUAACAGGGACGAUAAUGACGGUACCUGAAGAAAAAGCUCCGGCUAACUACGUGCCAGCAGCCGCGGUAAUACGUAGGGAGCGAGCGUUGUCCGGAAUUACUGGGUGUAAAGGGAGCGCAGGCGGGAAGACAAGUUGGAAGUGAAAUCUAUGGGCUCAACCCAUAAACUGCUUUCAAAACUGUUUUUCUUGAGUAGUGCAGAGGUAGGCGGAAUUCCCGGUGUAGCGGUGGAAUGCGUAGAUAUCGGGAGGAACACCAGUGGCGAAGGCGGCCUACUGGGCACCAACUGACGCUGAGGCUCGAAAGUGUGGGUAGCAAACAGGAUUAGAUACCCUGGUAGUCCACACCGUAAACGAUGGAUACUAGGUGUUGGAGGAUUGACCCUUUCAGUGCCGCAGUUAACACAAUAAGUAAUCCACCUGGGGAGUACGACCGCAAGGUUGAAACUCAAAGGAAUUGACGGGGGCCCGCACAAGCAGUGGAGUAUGUGGUUUAAUUCGAGGCAACGCGAAGAACCUUACCAAGUCUUGACAUCCCUUGACAGGCAUAGAAAUAUGUUUUGUGUUGGGAGCACGGAGACAGCUGGUGCAUGGUCGUCGUCAGCUCGUGUCGUGAGAUGUUGGGUUAAGUCCCGCAACGAGCGCAACCCUCAUGGUCAGGCACUACGCAAGAGGACUCUGGCCAGACUGCCGUGGACAACACGGAGGAAGGUGGGGACGACGUCAAAUCAUCAUGCCCCUUAUGAUCUGGGCGACACACGUGCUACAAUGGCGGUCACAGAGUGAGGCGAACCCGCGAGGGGGAGCAAACCACAAAAAGGCCGUCCCAGUUCGGACUGUAGUCUGCAACCCGACUACACGAAGCUGGAAUCGCUAGUAAUCGCGAAUCAGAAUGUCGCGGUGAAUACGUUCCC
rnacentral:rRNA from 1 species